ACUCCUACGGGAGGCAGCAGUGGGGAAUUUUGGACAAUGGGCGAAAGCCUGAUCCAGCAAUGCCGCGUGCAGGAUGAAGGCCUUCGGGUUGUAAACUGCUUUUGUACGGAACGAAACGGCUCUCUCUAAUACAGGGGGCUAAUGACGGUACCGUAAGAAUAAGCACCGGCUAACUACGUGCCAGCAGCCGCGGUAAU
rnacentral:rRNA from 1 species